GACGAACGCUGGCGGCGCGCCUAACACAUGCAAGUCGAACGGAGCAUUGAGAGCUUGCUUUUAAUGCUUAGUGGCGAACGGGUGAGUAACGCGUGAGUAACCUGCCCUCGAGUGGGGGACAACAGUUGGAAACGACUGCUAAUACCGCAUAAGACCACGGGAUCGCAUGAUUCUGAGGUAAAAGGAUUUAUUCGCUUGAGGAUGGACUCGCGUCCAAUUAGCUAGUUGGUGAGGUAACGGCCCACCAAGGCGACGAUUGGUAGCCGGACUGAGAGGUUGAACGGCCACAUUGGGACUGAGACACGGCCCAGACUCCUACGGGAGGCAGCAGUGGGGGAUAUUGCACAAUGGGGGAAACCCUGAUGCAGCGACGCCGCGUGAAGGAAGAAGGCCUUCGGGUUGUAAACUUCUGUCGUACGGGACGAUAAUGACGGUACCGUACAAGAAAGCCACGGCUAACUACGUGCCAGCAGCCGCGGUAAAACGUAGGUGGCAAGCGUUGUCCGGAAUUACUGGGUGUAAAGGGAGCGCAGGCGGACUAGCAAGUUGGAAGUGAAAUCUAUGGGCUCAACCCAUAAAUUGCUUUCAAAACUGCCGGUCUUGAGUAGUGCAGAGGUAGGCGGAAUUCCCGGUGUAGCGGUGGAAUGCGUAGAUAUCGGGAGGAACACCAGUGGCGAAGGCGGCCUACUGGGCACCAACUGACGCUGAGGCUCGAAAGUAUGGGUAGCAAACAGGAUUAGAUACCCUGGUAGUCCAUACCGUAAACGAUGAUUACUAGGUGUUGGAGGAUUGACCCAUUCAGUGCCGCAGUUAACACAAUAAGUAAUCCACCUGGGGAGUACGGCCGCAAGGUUGAAACUCAAAGGAAUUGACGGGGGCCCGCACAAGCAGUGGAGUAUGUGGUUUAAUUCGACGCAACGCGAAGAACCUUACCAAGACUUGACAUAUACUAGAAAUCCUAAGAAAUUAGGACCCUCUUCGGAGCUGGUAAACAGGUGAUGCAUGGUUGUCGUCAGCUCGUGUCGUGAGAUGUUGGGUUAAGUCCCGCAACGAGCGCAACCCUCGUGAUUAGUUGCUACCAAGUAGAACUCUAAUCAGACUGCCGUAGUUAAUACGGAGGAAGGUGAGGAUGACGUCAAAUCAUCACGUCCCUUACGUCUUGGGCUACACACGUACUACAAUGGGUGUUACAGAGAGAAGCGAAUCCGCGAGGAGGAGCAAAUCUGAAAAAAGCAUCCCUAGUUCGGAUUGUAGGCUGCAACCCGCCUACAUGAAGCUGGAAUUGCUAGUAAUCACGGGUCAGCAUACCGUGGUGAAUACGUUCCCGGGCCUUGUACACACCGCCCGUCACACCAUGAGAGUUGAGAAUACCCGAAGUCCAUGUCAAAGUGGCCGAAGGUAGGCUUGAUGAUUGGGGUGA
rnacentral:rRNA from 1 species